UGUGUGUGUGUGUGUGUGUGUGAAACAGUUUUUUUUACAAACUUAACAUGAAUCCAAAUAGCAGAAGCCAAAUGUAUUCACAUUUCUGUUUGAGAAACUGAACCUUUGCUAACCUAUGCUAUUCAAGGAGGAAUUUAUUAAAACUCCAUGCUAGCAAAGCUCUAAUGUUGUCUAAUGUAAAGUGUACCACAAACUUACUUAGAUAAUGCUUUAGGAUACUACCAAAACACUUAGAAUUAAAUAAAUAAGAUGUCAUAGUCUGGCUGCUAUGUCACUAAAUCAACCAGGUGCCUCAUGUUAGCAUUGUGUCAGAGCUAAUCACUGAUGGAGUACAGUACAGUGGUAAAUAAACUGAUAGCUUGUUUAGAAUGAAACCCCAGACUAGCACAGAGCUAGUAUAACAUUCAGAGAUAACAAUUAAACCUGGAUGAAGCAAAUCUCUUAAUCCAAGAGACUUUGAGCUCUGUCAGCAGCUAACCUGGUUGAAGAUAAAAUUUGAAAUUACAGCAUUAAGACAACAGCUAAUGGUCAAAUAAAACUCUCCACUAGCACAAGUGCUAAUUCAUUGCUAGCUGGCAUCAAUUAUGGCCUGGGAGAGCUACAUCCUCAGCACAGGGCCUCGAACACAGACUUAACGAGAUAAUUAUAUCCAGCUGCCUGUAUAAACUUUGUUGCCUCCAUGAAAACAGGGUUCUGACGUUUCUCAUUUCAACGGUGAGCUGAAAAUCUGUAGAAAAACACAAGGAAGGAUUUCUGGGGCCAAAUGUUUAUUCAUCUGCAUUUUUUCUCAUCAUUUAAGCAUCGUAGCUGGAAGACAAGUGUGGACAAGGAGAAUCUUUUCUUCAGCUGAGUGCUGUGGCUUUGGCAGGAGACGAGGCCUCCAAUUUCAACCACAUGUUCUCCUCUUAUCCACACCACCAGAGACAGAGAGAGGCAGACGGAGGCCUGAAAAGAUGCUAACGUUGGACAAAAAGGCAUGAAGGACAGAAAGAAAUAUUAUUAGUAGUAUUAUUAUAACUAUAAAUAGACAUAAAGCAUGAUUUCACUCUCUACCAAAUUAAAAUUGUGAUAUAAAAGCAA